AGCGAACGGUGGCGGCGUGGAUUAGGCAUGCAAGUCGCACGCGAAAGUCGGGGCAACCUGGCGAGUAGAGUGGCGGACGGGUGAGUAAUGUAUGGAUAACCUACCCUGGAGUCGGGGAUAACCACUGGAAACGGUGGCUAAUACCGGAUGGUCCUGGAGCCAGGCACUGGCUCUUUGUAAAGAAAGCAAUUUCACUCUGGGAGGGGUCCAUAUCCUAUCAGCUAGUUGGUGAGGUGAUGGCUCACCAAGGCAUCGACGGGUAGCCGAACUGAGAGGUCGAUCGGCCACAUCGGGACUGAGACACUGCCCGGACUCCUACGGGAGGCUGCAGUCGAGAAUCUUCUGCAAUGGGCGCAAGCCUGACAGAGCGACGCCGCGUGCGGGAUGAAGGCCCUCGGGUUGUAAACCGCUGUUACUUGUUAAGAAGGCCUGUGGUGAACCUACAGGCUGGCGUUAGCGAGAGAGGAAGUCACGGCUAACUUCGUGCCAGCC
rnacentral:rRNA from 1 species